rnacentral:snoRNA from 2 species
AGCAAACUGAUCAGGUUAUAUUAUCCGAAGUGUCAGAUGUUGAUACAUCAAUUCAUGGUCUUCAAAGUUCUCUGAUUCCU